rnacentral:miRNA from 1 species
GAUUUCUGUGAAAUGAAGUGUA